GACGAACGCUGGCGGCGUGCCUAAUACAUGCAAGUCGAGCGGACGGAUGGGAGCUUGCUCCCAGACCGUCAGCGGCGAACGGGUGAGUAACACGUGGGCAACCUGCCUGUAAGACUGGGAUAACUCCGGGAAACCGGGGCUAAUACCGGAUAACUCUUUCCCUCACAUGAGGGAAAGCUGAAAGAUGGCAUCUCGCUAUCACUUACAGAUGGGCCCGCGGCGCAUUAGCUAGUUGGUGAGGUAACGGCUCACCAAGGCGACGAUGCGUAGCCGACCUGAGAGGGUGAUCGGCCACACUGGGACUGAGACACGGCCCAGACUCCUACGGGAGGCAGCAGUAGGGAAUCUUCCGCAAUGGACGAAAGUCUGACGGAGCAACGCCGCGUGAGUGAUGAAGGUUUUCGGAUCGUAAAACUCUGUUGUCAGGGAAGAACAAGUACCGGAGUAACUGCCGGUACCUUGACGGUACCUGACCAGAAAGCCACGGCUAACUACGUG
rnacentral:rRNA from 1 species